rnacentral:lncRNA from 1 species
UUCCUCGAGCGGAGUGAGUGAGACUGCUUGACGCAGUGUGUGUAAAAUUACAGCACACUGUGCCAUGGUGUUAAAUGAAAGGUCAAGCUAAUUACAUCAAUGUAGCAGAACUGGCAAGCCAACAGGUCGGAGGAGUGAGUGUUACUGUUAUUCCCAUUCACAGGGUGGUUAGGCAGGAGACAGAAGCUGUUCCAUCCAGAUGGUUCAAUCUACUCUCUACUCUCGACACACUUAAUAUGACAGCCUAUGCUUCACAGUUCUAGAAAAAUAACAUAACUCUUGUUUUUUUUGCGGGGUCACUGCUACACCGAAAGUACUGUACGAUGUUCCGUGUAGCAUUCACGAGUGCAACUUCAUUUUUUAGGGUAAUCAGCUGCUAGCCUCUUGAUCUUUUCGACGCAAUCCUUAUCUAGACGAGGCGAGAUCCUUCUUUUCACAUUUCCCUGGAAUUCAAGAACUGUAAGAGAUGAAAAAUCGGUGGUGCUCCAUGAUGAGUUUGAUAAAGUUAUGAUAUAAAAUCUCAUUUUUAGAUGUGGG